GGACCCGACUGCUAUCAGAGUGGGGCUAAGCCAUGCGAGUCAACGCCGUAAGGCGUGGCGUACGGCUCAGUAACACGUAGUCAACAUGCCCAAGGGACGUGGAUAACCUCGGGAAACUGAGGAUAAACCGCGAUAGGCCAAGAUUUCUGGAAUGGAUCAUGGCUGAAAUCUAUAUGGCCCUUGGAUUGGACUGCGGCCGAUCAGGCUGUUGGUGGGGUAAUGGCCCACCAAACCUAUAACCGGUACGGGCUUUGAGAGAAGGAGCCCGGAGAUGGGCACUGAGACAAGGGCCCAGGCCCUACGGGGCGCAGCAGGCGCGAUG
rnacentral:rRNA from 1 species